AAUAAGUUUUACCUAGUCUUCUAAACUAGCUUCGGGUCUUUCUCACUUAUUU
rnacentral:tRNA from 1 species